GGGGGGUUUACGUGCGGUCUCGUGCCGACAGUUUUUCCGCAUUGGCAUUCGCUCGAUACGCAAUCGGUCUGGACGACGGUGCUCGGCUCCCCGGCCCUACCUCAUCCGCGCGUGUGGGGACCGACAACGAUUACAAAAAUGAUCGUGUUGUGUGUUUGCGAAAUUAAACUGCAGUGUAUAAAAUAAUGACAGAACGACCUCCAUUGAAACGUAUUCA